AGUGAACGCUGGCGGUAGGCCUAACACAUGCAAGUCGAACGGCAACACAGUAAGUUGUUGCGCUAAUGGGGGGCGGGUCGCGGGCGUGAGAGGAAGACAUCGUGAUCUACUUUUUGGGGUAGGCUAACGUAGGUAAACUUACUCUAGUACCGCAUACGGGCUACGAUGGAAAUGAGGGGAGCUUCGCGGCUUGGGCUAUUGAAGGGGCCGAUGUCGUAUUAGCUAGUGGGCGGGGGAAAGACCCACCAGGGCGACGAUCCGUAGCUGGUCUGAGAGGAUGAUCAGCCACACUGGAACUGAGACACGGUCCAGACUCCUACGGGAGGCAGCAGUGGGGAAUAUUGGACAAUGGGCGCAAGCCUGAUCCAGCCAUACCGCGUGGGUGAAGAAGGCCUUCGGGUUGUAAAGCCCUUUUGUUGGGAAAGAAAAGCAGCAGGUUAAUACCCCGCUGUUCUGACGGUACCCAAAGAAUAAGCACCGGCUAACUUCGUG
rnacentral:rRNA from 1 species